rnacentral:sRNA from 1 species
UGCGCCUGCGGCGGACCCGGCACGGCGCAACCGACGGCUUCGCAGGCAGCCGCUCCGUGUACGGUCUGGUACAUCCCGUAAUUUUACGGGAUUUAACGUCUUCU